GGGGGGGGUUGGGGUGACGUAGAGAAACCCCCCCCCAAAAAAAUCGGGGGGGGAGGGGUCCUGGAGCUGGUGUCCUCAAGGUCCCCGAGGUCCUCAGGGUGGUGACACCAAGGGCCUGGAGCUCAUGACCCUGGUGGCCCCAAAACGACGUCUCCUGGGGGUCCCCAACCUGGAGGACCCCAAAGUCCUGGAACCCCUGUCCCCAAGGUCCCCGAGGUCCCCAAGGUGCCCAAGGUGGCAGUUCCUGGGGGUCCCCAACCUGGAGGACCCCAAGACCAUGGACUCCAAGGUCCCAGAGCUCAUGUCCCCAAGGUCCCCAAGGUGGUGGCCUCAGGGGUCCUCAAGCUGGUGGACCCCAAAGUUCUUGUCCCCGAUGUCCCCAAGGUGGCAUCUCCUGGGGGUCCCCAACCUGGAGGCCCCCAAGGUGGGGGAGGACCCCAAGGUCCUGGAGCCCCCAAGGUCCCCCCGAGGUCCCUGGUGUGGGGGGUGGGGCCUCGGGGGGGUCCCGGAGCUGGUGG
rnacentral:lncRNA from 1 species